GUUUGAAGGCGAGACUCUCGAGACAGACUUUGAUGAGCGGAGAAAGUGAUUUCUGAAGGAGUUCGGAGCAUUUCUGUGGAGGAUAUUUUCUUUGAAUUGACUUUUUGAGAUUAUUUCUGAGGAGUAUUUUAUUUCUUUUAUUGGUUUUUGUUUGGUUUGUUUGGUCAUCUUUUCUUAUGUUGUGAAGGAGAGAUUUUUAGGAUAUUUUUGAUGGCUCAGUUCGGCGAAAGACGAGCUGCGGGCCGCUCCAGAUCCACUGCUGCUUUAACCCAGAUGGCUGCUGGUCAGGAGGCUGGGAGACAGUGUGGAGACCACAUUCAGAAAGCACUGUCCACCCCGACCCGGCCGUGGAGUCCAGAGCUGCCUGGCUAUAUCUCUCCUCUGCCUUCUGAGUCGACUCAAAGGAAGAGGAAGAGGCGGAGCUCGGAGGAUGAAGAUCCCUGCACCUCAGACGAGAGACCCGCCAAACGCUCUGCUGAAGAUGCGUAUAUAAAGGGCCCAAUGCUGGGUCAAGGUGGAUUCGGCUCUGUGUUUGCUGGGACCCGCAGCUCUGAUGGAUUGCCAGUGGCCAUCAAGUACGUGACUAAAGACGAGGGGCACGAGGACAUGGAAGUUGAAGGUCAGGGUCUGCUGCCGCUGGAGGUCGCGUUGAUGACCCGGGUCAGUUCAGCUCCUGUCUGUCCCAGUGUCCUGAAGCUGCU
ensembl:lncRNA